rnacentral:tRNA from 1 species
UUUUCCCUUGGAAAAAAUCUCUAAGAAACUCAAAUUUUCUCGUGCCAAACACUGAAGGGAAGGA